rnacentral:rRNA from 1 species
GACGAACGCUGGCGGCGUGCUUAACACAUGCAAGUCGAACGAAGAGCGAUGGAAGCUUGCUUCUAUCAAUCUUAGUGGCGAACGGGUGAGUAACGCGUAAUCAACCUGCCCUUCAGAGGGGGACAACAGUUGGAAACGACUGCUAAUACCGCAUACGAUCUAAUCUCGGCAUCGAGGAUAGAUGAAAGGUGGCCUCUACAUGUAAGCUAUCACUGAAGGAGGGGAUUGCGUCUGAUUAGCUAGUUGGAGGGGUAACGGCCCACCAAGGCGAUGAUCAGUAGCCGGUCUGAGAGGGUGAACGGCCACAUUGGGACUGAGACACGGCCCAGACUCCUACGGGAGGCAGCAGUGGGGAAUCUUCCGCAAUGGGAGAAAGUCUGACGGAGCAACGCCGCGUGAGUGAUGACGGCCUUCGGGUUUUAAAGCUCUGUUAUUCGGGACGAAAGGCUUUCUUGGAAAAAGUGAAAGGGAUGGACGGUACCGAAAAAAAAAGCCACGGCUAACUACGU